GGCAAUUACGGAGACCUGGUGGGACAGAUCACGUGACCGGGAUGCGGACGCGGAUGGCUAUGUCCUUCUCAGGAAAGACAGGCCAGCAAGGCGAGGCGGUGGCGUUGCUCUUUAUGUGAGAGAGCGACUAGAACGUGCAGAGUACUGUCCAGGGGUGGAGGAGGAGCGGGUUGAGAGUUUGUGGGUGGGAACUAAGGGGCAGGCUGGCACGCGUGGCGCUGUUGUGGGUGUCUGUUACAGGCCCCUGGAUCUGAACUAGGAAGCCGACGAGGCCUUCUACAGGCAGCUGAUAGCAGCUUCGCAGUGACUGGCCCUGGUUAUUGUGGGCGAUUUUGACUACUCUGAUAUUUGCCGGAAGGUCUACUCAGCCAGUCAUCCGCAAGCCAUCCAAGAGGUUCCUCCAGUGCACUGACGAUAACUUGCAAAUGGUGGAUGAGGCAAGUAGGUGAGGAGCACUGCUGGAUCUUGUUCUCAGUAACAAGGAGGGUCCGGUUGAAGUGGUGAAGGUUGAGGGCAGCCUUGGUUGCAGUGACGAGAUGAUGGAGUUCAGGAUCUCGUGUGGCAGGAUGAGAAAAACAAGCAGAGUCGCAAGCCCGGACUUCAGCAGGGCCAACUCGGUCCUUUUCUGUCAAUUGCUAGGGGAAAUCCCAUGGGACAGGGUACUUGAAGGUAAAGGGGCCCAAGAUAGUUGGUUAGCAUUCAAGGACUGCGUCCUCUGAGCUCACGAUCAGAGCAUCCCAAACAGGUAGGAAGUCAAGAAAGGGAACCAGGAGACCUGCACGGUUAAACAGGGGACUGCUGGGCAAACUCAAGUGGAAGAGGAGAGCCUACAGGUCAUGGAAGGUGGGGCUGGCCGCCUGGGAGGAAUAUAAGACUUGCCGGGUCCUGCACUUUGCCUGCGGUUGUUGUGGCCAAUGCUACAGGCUUGGGGCAGUGUGGCUGGAAGACUGCGUAGAGGAAAUGGACCUGGGGGUAUUGGUUGAUGCUUGACCGAACACGGGCCAGCAGUGUGCCCAGGUGGUCAAGAAGGCCAAG
ensembl:lncRNA